rnacentral:misc_RNA from 1 species
UAAUAAGUGUUUUAUGGCACUUUUUAAAUCCAUAUCCACCUUGUGUGCAAUGUCAGUCGAUCUUCUUCAUGGAGAUCGACCAAACAUCAACCUUUAUCUUUUAACUCUUUGUCUUAAAAUAUUAUGAAUAAACAAUUCAAAAUA